AAAAUUCAACUCGUGUUCGGCUCGUUAAUAAACGAGCCGAAUACGAGCUGGCUUAUGAGCUGGCCAACGAAAAAUAAGUUAAAUAAAUUAAAUUGGAUAUUUAUAUAAAAUAAAGUUAUAACAUGUUACCUAUUAGACUUUGAUCUAAUGGUUGGAACUUUAUAUGUAAAUGAGCUUUUUUAUAAUUGAAUUCUGCUUUAUAUUCUUUUUUACUAAAAAUCAAAUAAUAAAAAUAUAUAUAUUAUAUAUAUAAUUACUUAUUUAUAUAUAUAAAUAUAAAUUAUAUAAAUUAUAUAAAUAUAAAAUAUGUGUAUACGUCCUGUUAUCGAGCCCAACAUGAGCGAGCUGAUCCUAGCUCAUGUUAGGCUCGUUUGUUAAACGAGCUGAAAAAUUCAGCUCAUGCAUGUUCGGCUCGUUUACUCAACGAGCGAUUCGAUUUCGAGCUCAUUUCGAGCCGAAUACGAGCUGGCUUGCGAACAAUGAGCUGGAUUAUCACCCUAACAUUCAACUAAUAAUAAUUAGUUAUAACCGACUGUCCCUAACGCAAGUAGCAAAGUACUUGGUAGUUGAUACUCGAGCCUUCAAGUUCGAAUUCUUUCCAGUUAAAGUGGGUAGCAUGCUAUAUUUCUCUCUUUCAAACAAAAAAAGUAUUUUAGUAGUUUACUUUAAGAAAGUUAUACUCUUUAAAUAAAAGUUGCACCCUUUCGUUUAAAAAAAAUAUUUUAGUAGUUUAAUUUUAGUAGUUUAUAUCUCAAAGAGUGCAAUAAAAGAAGAAAUAAUAUAAAUAUCUCUCAAAAAGUGCAACUUUCGUUUAAAGAAUGCAACUUUCAUCUUACAAAACGCAGUUUAUAUCUCAAAGAAUGCAAUAAGAGGAGAAACAGUAUAAAGAUCUUUCAAAGAGUGCAAUUUUCGUUUGAAAAAUGUAAUUUUCAUCUUAAAAGGUGUAGUUUACAUCUUAAAUAGUACAACUUACGAUCAUAAUUGUAUAACGUUUUUUUAAAACAAUGUAAUUUCAUCUUAACAGUACAACUUCAUCUUUUUCUUCCUUCUUCUCUGAUUUUCUUCAUUAUUCUUUAGUUUUUGGCUUUUAGUUAAUUUUUUUUUUAUUUUAAACAAAUAAAAAUGCUAAUCCAGAGAUACUCCCGUGCACUCCUUGCCCUCCUCGCCUCCGACAUCGCCAAAGCUGCGCUCGUCGCCGCCCUUUG
rnacentral:lncRNA from 1 species